GACGAACGCUGGCGGCGUGCUUAACACAUGCAAGUCGAGCGGUAAGGCCCUUUCGGGGGUACGACGAGCGGCGAACGGGUGAGUAACACGUGGGUGACCUGCCCUCAGCUCUGGGAUAAGCCUGGGAAACUGGGUCUAAUACCGGAUAUGACUCCAUGACGCAUGUUGUGGGGUGGAAAGCCUUGUGCGGCUGAGGAUGGGCCUGCGGCCUAUCAGCUUG
rnacentral:rRNA from 1 species